AUGACAGGACAAAGGAGCAUACAUGGAAAUAAAAUGAAAAUUCAGAACAGAUGUCAGGACACAUUUUUCAUGCUGAAUGUGCAGAGUGGCCAACCAGGUUUCCUUUUCACUCCAUGCAGUAACUCUCCACAAUAUCGACUGAGACCUAUUUGUCCAUGUGUGUUCCUAGCAUGUCAAACACAGCUACCGUUUUCAAGAGGAGCACUAGGAGUGUGCAGGUCUAGCACCUGAACGACGUAUCACGAACCUGCAACUAUCAGUGACACUUAGCACUUGCAAUUGCAGGGAAAUACAUUGUAUUUGUUUAAGGAUCCCUGAGUGGGCCAACUGCAGGUAUGUCCUUGAAUUUUGUAUGUGGAAGGUAAGUAGGAUCAGUGAAAGACUGAUCUGGAAGUGGCUGAGACCGUGGUGAUCACAUGGGCACUGUGCUUUGUGGGCUUUCAAUCUGUACAUCAUCACAUUAUGACAAUGAAUAUCUAUCACAUUUUAAUAAUUUGUCACUUCCUAUCUACAGGGGAAUACUUCCAAAUUAAGCAAUGGACUUAUUUUGAAACUAGGCAUGUAUUAGCUGUCUUUGAAAGAACUGUGCUAAUGGACAGUACCAAUCUCUUGGAAAGGAGCAGAAAUGCAGAGAUAAUCUAGGUUAUUACAUCUUGAUGUUAUUUUAGGACUAUACCACUAUCUAUUUUCAGCAUAUAUAUAUAUUAAUAAAUAAAUAAAUAAAUAAAAACUGUGAUGCUCU
rnacentral:lncRNA from 1 species